GCCCAACCGUUAACACAGACAACAAUAGUACAAUGUUGUCCGCCAGAGAACUACGAGCGAAAAACUUAAAACUCUAAGGACUUGGCGGUACCCCAUACCGACCUAGAGGAGCCUGUCCUAUAAUCGAUAUUCCACGUUUUACCCAACCACCCCUUGCAAUCCAGCCUAUAUACCGCCGUCGCCAGCCUACCUUAUGAAAGAAACAAAAUAGGCAUAAUAGUCUUCAACUAAAACGUCAGGUCAAGGUGUAGCAUAUGAGGUGGAAGAGAUGGGCUACAUUUUCUAAAUUAGAAAACUACGAACAAUACAGUGAAACCUGUACUCAAAGGUGGAUUUAACAGUAAGGUAGACAAGAAACUCUACCUUAAGAUCGCUCUGGGGUGCGCACACACCGCCCGUCA
rnacentral:rRNA from 1 species